AACGAACGCUGGCGGCAUGCCUAACACAUGCAAGUCGAACGAGACCUUCGUGUCUAGUGGCGCACGGGUGCUUAACGCCUGGUAACCUGCCCUUAGGUUCGGAAUAACUCCCCGAAAGGUGUGCUAAUACCGGAUAAUGUCAUCGGACCAAGGAGUUAUCGCCUUUUGAUGGGCCCGCGUUGGAUUAGCUAGUUGGUAGGGUACAAGCCUACCAAGGCGACGAUCCAUAGCUGGUCUGAGAGGAUGAUCAGCGACACUGGGACUGAGACAAGGCCCAGACUGGUACGGGAGGUAGCAGUGGGGAAAAUAGGAGCAGGGGCGAAAGCCUGCACCAGCGAGGCCGCGAGAGUGAUGAUGGCCUUAGGGUUGUAAAGCGCUUUUGACCGGGAUGAUAAGGACAGUACCGGUAGAAUAAGACCCGGCUAAUUCCGU
rnacentral:rRNA from 1 species